UACGUAGGGGGCAAGCGUUGUCCGGAUUCAUUGGGCGUAAAGAGCGUGUAGACGGCCAGGUAGGUCGGUUGUGAAAACUGGAGGCUCAACCUUCAGACGUCGACCGAAACCAUCUGGCUAGAGUCCGGGAGAGGAGAGUGGAAUUCCUGGUGUAGCGGUGAAAUGCGCAGAUAUCAGGAAGAACACCGAUGGCGAAGGCAGGUCUCUGGGCCACUACUGACGCUGAGAAGCGAAAGCAUGGGGAGCGAACAGG
rnacentral:rRNA from 1 species